rnacentral:rRNA from 1 species
AGUGAACGCUGGCGGUAGGCCUAACACAUGCAAGUCGAACGGCAGCACAGUAAGCGCUUGCUCUUACGGGUGGCGAGUGGCGGACGGGUGAGGAAUACAUCGGAAUCUACUUUUUCGUGGGGGAUAACGGAGGGAAACUUACGCUACUACCUCAUACGACCUACGGGUGAAAGCAGUAGAUCUUCGGAGCUUGCCCGUUUGUAUGAGCCGAUGUCGGAUUAGCUAGUUGGCGAGGUAAGGGCACACCAAGGCGACGAUCCGUAGCUGGUCUGAGAGGAUGAUCAGCCACACUGGAACUGAGACACGGUCCAGACUCCUACGGGAGGCAGCAGUGGGGAAUAUUGGACAAUGGGCGAAAGCCUGAUCCAGCAAUACCGCGUGGGUGAAGAAGGCCUUCGGGUUGUAAAGCCCUGUUGUUGGGAAAGAAAAGAAGUAGAUGAAUACACCGAUGUUCUGACGGUACCUAAAGAAUAAGCACCGGCUAACUUCGUG